CAGCCGCCGCGGUAAUUCGUAGGGUGCGAGCGUUAAUCGGAUUUACUGGGCGUAAAGCGUGCGCAGGCGGCCCGUUAAGACAGGUGUGAAAUCCCUGGGCUCAACCUAGGAAUUGCGCUUGUGACUGGCGGGCUCGAGUACGGUAGAGGGGGGUGGAAUUCCUGGUGUAGCAGUGAAAUGCGUAGAGAUCAGGAGGAACACCGAUGGCGAAGGCAGCCCCCUGGGCCUGUACUGACGCUCAUGCACGAAAGCGUGGGGAGCAAACAGGAUUAGAUACCCUGGUAGUCCACGCCCUAAACGAUGGGUACUAGCCGUUUGGUGCGCGAUAGCGCUGAGUGGCGAAGCUAACGCGUGAAGUACCCCGCCUGGGGAGUACGGCCGCAAGGUUGAAACUUAAAGGAAUUGGCGGG
rnacentral:rRNA from 1 species